rnacentral:rRNA from 1 species
AAACCAGCACCUCAAGUUGUCAGGAUGAUUAUUGGGCCUAAAGCAUCCGUAGCCGGCUCUGUAAGUUUUCGGUUAAAUCUGUACGCUCAACGUACAGGCUGCCGGGAAUACUGCAGGGCUAGGGAGUGGGAGAAGUAGACGGUAAUCAGGAGGAAGUGGUAAAAUGCUUUGAUCUCCUGAUGACCACCUGUGGCGAAGGCGGUCUACUAGAACACGUCCGACGGUGAGGGAUGAAAGCUGGGGGAGCAAACCGGAUUAGAAACCCGAGUAGUCC